rnacentral:rRNA from 1 species
GAUGAACGCUGGCGGCGUGCCUAAUACAUGCAAGUCGAGCGAACAGACGAGGAGCUUGCUCCUCUGACGUUAGCGGCGGACGGGUGAGUAACACGUGGAUAACCUACCUAUAAGACUGGGAUAACUUCGGGAAACCGGAGCUAAUACCGGAUAAUAUAUUGAACCGCAUGGUUCAAUAGUGAAAGACGGUUUUGCUGUCACUUAUAGAUGGAUCCGCGCCGCAUUAGCUUGUUGGUAAGGUAACGGCUUACCAAGGCAACGAUGCGUAGCCGACCUGAGAGGGUGAUCGGCCACACUGGAACUGAGACACGGUCCAGACUCCUACGGGAGGCAGCAGUAGGGAAUCUUCCGCAAUGGUCGAAAGCCUGACGGAGCAACGCCGCGUGAGUGAUGAAGGUCUUCGGAUCGUAAAACUCUGUUAUUAGGGAAGAACAAAUGUGUAAGUAACUAUGCACGUCUUGACGGUACCUAAUCAGAAAGCCACGGCUAACUACGUG